UACAGAGGUCUCAAGCGUUGUUCGGAUUUACUGGGCGUAAAGGGCGCGUAGGCGGCCACCGCAAGUCGACUGUGAAAUCUCCGGGCUUAACCCGGAAAGGUCAGCCGAUACUGCGGGGCUAGAGUGCAGAAGGGGCAACUGGAAUUCUCGGUGUAGCGGUGAAAUGCGCAGAUAUCGGGAGGAAGACACCCGUAGGCGAAGGCGG
rnacentral:rRNA from 1 species